GUGGGGAAUAUUCCGCAAUGGACGAAAGUCUGACGGAGCAACGCCGCGUGAGUGAUGAAGGUUUUCGGACUGUAAAGCUCUGUUGUUUAGGACGAAAGUGCCUGUUGCGAAUAGUUACAGGUAUUGACGGUACUGAACGAGGAAGCCACGGCUAACUACGUGCCAGCAGCCGCGGUAAUACGUAGGUGGCAAGCGUUGUCCGGAAUUAUUGGGCGUAAAGAGCAUGUAGGCGGAGAUUUAAGUCUGUUGUGAAAAUGCGGGGCUCAACCCCGUAUGGCGAUGGAAACUGAAUUUCUUGAGUGCAGGAGAGGAAAGGGGAAUUCCCAGUGUAGCGGUGAAAUGCGUAGAUAUUGGGAGGAACACCAGUGGCGAAGGCGCCUUUCUGGACUGUGUCUGACGCUGAGAUGCGAAAGCCAGGGUAGCGAACGGGAUUAGAAACCCGAGUAGUCC
rnacentral:rRNA from 1 species